rnacentral:rRNA from 1 species
GAUGAACGCUAGCUACAGGCUUAACACAUGCAAGUCGAGGGGCAGCAUGUUGGUUGCUUGCAACCAACGAUGGCGACCGGCGCACGGGUGAGUAACGCGUAUCCAACCUUCCGCAUACUCGGGAAUAGCCUUUCGAAAGAAAGAUUAAUGCCCGAUGGUUUCCCGAACCCGCAUGAGCGCGGGAAUAAAGAUUCAUCGGUAUGCGAUGGGGAUGCGUCCCAUUAGCUUGUUGGCGGGGUAACGGCCCACCAAGGCUACGAUGGGUAGGGGUUCUGGGCGGAAGGUCCCCCACAUUGGAACUGAGAGACGGUCCUAACUCCUGCGGGAGGCAGCAGUGAGGAAUAUUGGUCAAUGGGCGAGAGCCUGAACCAGCCAAGUAGCGUGAGGGAUGACCGCCCUACGGGUCGUAAGCCUCUUUUAUAAGGGAAUAAAGAUAAGUACGCGUACUUAGUUGCAUGUACCUUAUGAAUAAGCAUCGGCUAACUCCGUGCCAGCAGCCGCCGUAA